GCCUGGCUGGCUGAGUCGGGUAAGCAUCUGACUUUGGCUCAGGUCAUGAUCUCACAGUUCAUGAGUUCAAGCCCCACGUUGGGCU
rfam:Felis catus isolate Cinnamon breed Abyssinian chromosome B4, whole genome shotgun sequence.